UACAGAGGUCCCAAGCGUUGUUCGGAUUCACUGGGCGUAAAGGGUGCGUAGGUGGUGAGGUAAGUCGGAUGUGAAAGCUCGGAGCUCAACUCCGAAAUGGCAUUGGAAACUACCUUGCUCGAGGGUUGGAGGGGGGACUGGAAUACUUGAUGUAGCAGUGAAAUGCGUAGAUAUCAAGUGGAACACCAGUGGCGAAGGCGAGUCCCUGGACAACUCCUGACACUGAGGCACGAAAGCUAGGGGAGCAAACAGG
rnacentral:rRNA from 1 species